rnacentral:lncRNA from 1 species
CAACUCAUUUGAACCAUACACUGGUGGCAGAUACAAGAAAUACCGCCUGGGCUGCAGCAGAGGAAAAACAAGUCAGCUUGGUUUGCUCAGAUUCCAAGUUUUUUUUUUGGGAAUGCUCAGAUUCGAAGGUAAUGAGCUAUUUGCGGCUGUAUUGAGCCGACAGGUCCGAUAAAGUAUUACCGAGGAGGAGAUAAAACAAGUUGCUGGGCCUAAUGUUGCAGCCUGUGCGGCUUAAAAUUUGGAGUAUGGCCCAAAAUCGUAUUGGGCUUGGUAAAUUGUUCCUGCCGCAGGGAAACAAACAGUUUAAUUUAUUUAAUUAUUUUUUGAUCCCUCGUGCCGUUUUAGCGACUCCAGGCCGCGUCUUCACCGACCUCCACGGGAAGGAGGACCUCGAGGGGCGGCGGCAGCCGCAUCCUUGUCCUACGGAAAGGAGAAAAAAAAAACUUGCGCGUUUGCUUCCUAAAGAAAAAUCCUGAAACUUGCGCCAUUGCUUCCUCGAAAGAAAAAAAAACUUGCGCUACUGGGCCGACACUUGCGGCUUUAUUGAGCCGUCAACCAGAACAAAACGGGGGCCCAAGUCAUCACGAACAUAAAAAGAACGAAUUCACGAAAACCCUUCUGCCAUCGAGCUGUUCCGAACAAACCGUGGGCCCAAGUCAACCUGUUCAGCACGAGCUGGACUGCUGGACAUGCUCCUGGGUCCUGGCUCACAAGCCGCAGCCUUUCCUGUUCGAGGGGUACCAAGUCGACCCGCUCCUGGCGGAAAAGAUGCCCGACAUUGCCAAGAAUUUCAUGG